rnacentral:misc_RNA from 1 species
GAUGAAGAACGCAGUGAAAUGCGAUACGUAAUGUGAAUUGCAGAAUUCAGUGAAUCAUCGAAUCUUUGAACGCAUAUUGCGCUCUCUGGUAUUCCGGAGAGCAUGCUUGUUUGAGUAUCAGUAAACACCUCAACUUCCAUAUCUUUUUUGAAAUGGGAGUUGGACUUGAGUGAUCCCAACGCUUUUCCUCACCGAAAAGUGGCGGGUUACUUGAAAUGCAGGUGCAGCUGGACUUUUCUCUGAGCUAUAAGCAUAUCUAUUUAGUCUGCCUAAAAAACAGAUUAUUACCUUUGCUGCAGCUAACAUAAAGGAGAUUAGUUCUUGUGCUGACUGAUGCAGGAUUCACAAAGACAGGCUUCGGCCGACUUUGUAAACUCGAUCUCAAAUCAAGUAAGACUACCCGCUGAACUUAAGCAUAUAAUAAGCGGAGGA